GGGCCUGUAGCUCAACGGCAGAGCGACCGGCUCAUAACCGGUUGGUUGCAGGUUCGAAUCCUGCCGGGCCCACCA
rnacentral:tRNA from 1 species